rnacentral:rRNA from 1 species
UGGGAAUUUUGGACAAUGGGCGCAAGCCUGAUCCAGCCAUGCCGCGUGCGGGAAGAAGGCCUUCGGGUUGUAAACCGCUUUUGUCAGGGAAGAAAUCUUCUGAGUUAAUACCUCGGGAGGAUGACGGUACCUGAAGAAUAAGCACCGGCUAACUACGUGCCAGCAGCCGCGGUAAUACGUAGGGUGCAAGCGUUAAUCGGAAUUACUGGGCGUAAAGCGUGCGCAGGCGGUUUUGUAAGACAGAGGUGAAAAUCCCCGGGCUCAACCUGGGAACUGCCUUUGUGACUGCAAGGCUUGAGUGCGGCAGAGGGGGGAUGGAAUUCCGCGUGUAGCAGUGAAAUGCGUAGAUAUGCGGAGGAAACACCGAUGGCGAAGGCAAUCCCCUGGGCCUGCACUGACGCUCAUGCACGAAAAGCGUGGGGAGCAAAACAGGAUUAGAAUAGCCCUGGUAGUCCACGCCCUAAAAACGAUGUCAACUGG